rnacentral:rRNA from 1 species
CCUACGGGUGGCAGCAGUGGGGAAUAUUGCACAAUGGGGGAAACCCUGAUGCAGCGACGCCGCGUGAGUGAAGAAGUAUUUCGGUAUGUAAAGCUCUAUCAGCAGGGAAGAAAAUGACGGUACCUGAUUAAGAAGCCCCGGCUAACUACGUGCCAGCAGCCGCGGUAAUACGUAGGGGGCAAGCGUUAUCCGGAUUUACUGGGUGUAAAGGGAGCGUAGACGGCAGCACAAGUCUGGAGUGAAAUGCCGGGGCUUAACCCCGGAACUGCUUUGGAAACCGUGCAGCUAGAGUGCAGGAGAGGUAAGUGGAAUUCCUAGUGUAGCGGUGAAAUGCGUAGAUAUUAGGAGGAACACCGAUUGCGAAGGCAGCAUACCGGCGCCCAACUGACGCUCAGGCACGAAAGCGUGGGUAUCGAACAGGAUUGGAUACCCGAGUAGUC